CUCGCCCGGCUGAAACGCGUUAUUGGUAAUAUACUUGCAUUCUCUAUUGCAAGGUAUCUCGCCUGUAGCCAACAAGCAUCGUAUGGGCACUGCCUUCAUGCUGUACGGCACUGUCUUCCGUGUGUGUUCGGGCUGCAGCACCAGACCGCAAAGCCAACAGGCUGAAGGCUGGCAAGCUGCGAUUGUGUCUGCUGAGCGGACUUGGCGGCCGAGCCCCUGCUGUGUGCCGGUAACGGCACCUCAGGCUCAUACAUUUACGCCCAAGCAAGGGGCUGUCGGUGGCAGGUCGUGGACCUCCCGACUACGUGUAACAGCCAAUGACUCUUCACCAUGUCUGCUAGGUUCCAGGGAGACACCGUCUCUUCAAAAGGUUAUGAGCCCCAGCGUCCUGCCUCCCGUGCUCUGACAAGCAUAGCUCCCACCGCAUCAGCACUGCUGCAACAAGCACAGCUCUCAGCACGUUGGCACUACCCAUCAAUUAUCACACAUGCCGCCCUAGCACCGGCCUGUACGGAUAUAUGCAGGGGGGGCCCGCCCUUUUCCGGCUCUGAGGAAAGCCGGCGGGCUUGCAGAGGUAGCCCAAUAACGAAAAUGCUACAGCUCCAAAAUAUAUGUACAGUAGGCGUGGUAGGUGAGCCCCGGAACCCGGCAUGCACUGUGCACCGAUGACCUAGAGCACAACUGUUGCAUGCAACGCGUCUGCUGCGACUGUUGCAUUUGUCGCUCUUGUCGCCAUUGUAGCGGCUGUCGCCAUUGUAGCGGCUGUCGCCGUUGUCGCCGUUGUCGCCGUUGUCGCGACUGUCGCCGUUGUGGCAGUUGUCGCCGUUGUGGCAGUUGUCGCCGUUGUGGCAGUUGUCACCGUUGUCGCCGUUGUGGCAGUUGUAGCGGUUGUGGCUGUUAUUGCAUCAGGGACGACUGUCGUACAGCUGCAGGAAAAUGGGGCCCCUUAGCUCAGCUGGUUAGAGCGUGGUGCUAAUAGCCAUGGGCACGCCAAGGUCAUCGGUUUGAUCCCGAUAGCCACAGAGGAGCGGAAAUCUUGCUGCUUAAGGAGGAGGAGGUGGCACAAGCGAAUGUGUAUGGGCGGGGAUGCUGCUCAUGUGCAUGACGAUGCGGAUAAGUGGCAGCUCCAGGUGAAGCAAAAGGACUGAGACGGGCUCUCGCAGCCCAUGCUUAUUGGUCAUUUAUGCAGACAAACGCCCAGCAUCGACAUCCUCAUGGCUGGUCAGCAGCAGAGUGGCACGGCUCACACUGCAUGACAGUCCAGCUCUAGCUAGCAAUGCUACCAGGUGCAUGCUGGUCUACGGCGAAACAACGCCACCGGGACAUUCAUGCCAACCCCAACCCCAAAAAACAUGUGCCACAAGCUAUAGCUUAUGUCGACGCACGUUGGCCACGUGAAGCCACCUAAAAGUGCUGUGAGGGAGCUGUGACACCAAGAAUUGCUUGGAUGCAUUCAACACAUAGGGGAUCACAGCCGGGAGCGCAUAAGCAGCACAGCUCCCAUAUGUUGAGCUCUCACGUAUGCCGGUCAUCAGCUGAAAUAUAUUUGGUACUUUAAAAGAGAGAAGCCAGAGGCCAGCUAGAUAGCGGGUGGGUUUCCAUCCUCGGUCACUUGCUCGCUAGACCCUCUGCGUGAGUCCCUUUGACAGCCAGCUACCCACGCAGCAGCC
rnacentral:lncRNA from 1 species